CUGUGCAAAGGUAGCAUAAUCAUUAGCUUUUUAAUUGAAGGCUUGUAUGAAUGGUCGGACAAAGUAAAAGCUGUCUUUAAUUUUAUUUUUUGAAUUUAACUUUUAAGUGAAAAGGCUUAAAUGAGUUUAAGGGACGAUAAGACCCUAUAAAUCUUUAUAUUAAAUUGUUAUUUUGAAAUUUAAUGGGUUUGUUUAAAUAAACAAAAAAACAAAAAAUAUUUUGUUGGGGUGAUGAGAAUAUAAAAAUAACUGUUCUUAUUUUAUUCAAAGUUAUUUGUUUAAGAUUAGUAGAUCCUUUAUUUAAGAUUAAAAGUUUAAGUUACUUUAGGGAUAACAGCGUUAUUUUUUUUGAGAGUUCUUAUCGAAAAAAAAGUUUGCGACCUCGAUGUUGAAUUAAAAUUUCUCUACGGUGUAGAAGUUGUAGUAGAGAGUCUGUUCGACUUUUGAAAUUUU
rnacentral:rRNA from 1 species